CGCGGCCUAUCAGCUUGUUGGUGAGGUAACGGCUCACCAUGGCAUCGACGGGUAGCUGGUCUGAGAGGAUGAUCAGCCACACUGGAACUGAGACACGGUCCAGACUCCUACGGGAGGCAGCAGUGGGGAAUAUUGCACAAUGGGCGCAAGCCUGAUGCAGCAACGCCGCGUGCGGGAAGAAGGCCCUAGGGUUGUAAACCGCUUUCAGCAGGGAAGAAAAUGACGGUACCUGCAGAAGAAGGUGCGGCCAACUACGUGCCAGCAGCCGCGGUGACACGUAGGCACCAAGCGUUGUCCGGAUUUAUUGGGCGUAAAGAGCUCGUAGGCGGUUCAGUAAGUCGGGUGUGAAAACUCUGGGCUCAACCCAGAGACGCCACUCGAUACUGCUGUGACUUGAGUACGGUAGGGGAGCGGGGAAUUCCUGGUGUAGCGGUGAAAUGCGCAGAUAUCAGGAGGAACACCAGUGGCGAAGGCGCCGCUCUGGGCCGUAACUGACGCUGAGGAGCGAAAGCAUGGGUAGCAAACAGGAUUAGAUACCCUGGUAGUCCACGCCGUAAACGUUGGGCACUAGGUGUGGGUUCCAUCCAACGGGAUCCGUGCCGUAGCUAACGCAUUAAGUGCCCCGCCUGGGGAGUACGG
rnacentral:rRNA from 1 species